UUUCGUAUCCCACGCGCACGCCCCAUUAUUUUGUCAAAAUUUUUCGAACCCUUUUUUUCUUUUUUCUUCUUUUCUCUUCCUUUCUCCCGUGGCCUUUCUUCCUUCUUUCUUGUUCUUCUUUUCUUUUCGUCCCAACCGAGAGAGAGAUUAGAGAGAGACCGAGAGAGAAAGAAAGAGAGACCGAGAGAGAUGGAGAGAAAUAGAGAGCUUGAGAGAAGAGGCGUGCAGUGGGUCACGGCCCAACGCCAGUGAGGCCGAAAAGCUUGGAGUUCCGGCAUUUUCUCGGUACCCAAACAGUAGAAAGUCCAUUUUUUUGGCAAUUGAAGUCCGAUUUGAGCACCUAAACGUUGAAGCAGAAGUUCAUGUAGGAGCCAGGAGGCAGAGCCUUGCCUUCCUUCUUUAACUUCAUUAUAAACAUCCUAGAGACGCUUACCCUUACAUUGCAAUGGAUACCGAGUUUCCGGGAAUCGUCCUCCGUCCGGUAGGGAAUUUCAUGAGCUUUUAUGGGUUCGAAAUCCGAAUACCCUUUUGGUCAUUCAGCUUCCUCAUUCACGGGUUUUCCGUGUUCUGUCUCGGUGAGUAUUUUUGGUUUUGGUUAUUCUCAGAUUACCUUGUAUUGUGGAGAGGAAGAAAAUCAGUGGCUGUACCAAAGGUGAUAGCUUUUCUGUAUGGAAGAUCUGGCUGUACCAAAGGUGAUAGCUUUUCUUGAAAACUGAUGAAGAACUGGCCCUUACACGCUGGCCGGGAUAGUAAGGAAAAUGAACAUCUUCAAGGAUAUUCUUCGAAAUUUGUUUUAGACGCAGUGGCUCAGCUUUUGGAACUUUACACACAGAACCAU